CAGGGAUGAUGAGCUGCUUUGUGACCUCUCUGAAGUGUGGAGUCUGAUGGGGUAACUGGACAGUGUCAGAACCAGCAUAGCACCUUUGUACUCUUCUGCUCAGACUGAGAAAUGAGAGGCUCACUGGCAGUUUCAGAGGAACAGGAGGAUAAAUGAUGCUGAUCUUUCUCUACACAUUGACACCUUUACAGGCCUGAGAGAGAGUUACAGUCAAAACCACAUGCAUUUAGAGAAAGAAGCGAGCGAAGGGAAUACGUGUGGUGAAAGAAGCCCUUAUCCAGUGCUCAGCCUAAUGGAGCAGGGUGAUCCAGACAGUGGAGCAAGGGGAUGAGAGUCAUCAGAACAUUUAACUUUAAAGAUUGUGUAGCGUUGUGUCCGUGGACUUCCAGAGUUUGCAUUAAAAAGUGACAGAACAUCAGCAUGCCAGAAGCCUUUCAUAUUGUGGUCUUGAAGGCUCAGUGGUGGAUUCCAGCAGCCCUGAGAGGACAGGGUGGAGAGAGGAAGGACAAGGGGACCGUCUGAGUCUUGUCAACAGAGAUCCACAAACACUCUUCUAAGACUUGCUCUGGAGCAAGUGUUCUGUGUGGGCACAACUUGGGGUGCCUCCAGAGUGACCUGAGCCCUUCAGGAGGCCACCGAGAGCAAAGGAGUAAAGGCCAAAUUAGUGGCCACUUUUAGCAGUGACACUUUGCAGCCCAGACGAGGUGCAGUGCCAGAUGGGCCACCUGAACCUGUUGCACCCAUGAGGUACCUGUCUGUGUAGGUCUUGCCUCACUUUCCUCCUCAGUUUAAAGCCAGUCUGGUUAUCUAUCCCUGCAUGGGCCUCAGAUCACAGUCUCUUCCCGAGCUGUUCCUUCCAUGUCAGACCUGUUCAUGGCCCAUGGCACUACCAGGCCAGCAAGUUUAUAC